GCUCAAAACAAAGCACUUUAUCCAAAUAACCCCCAAGUGCAUGAAUUAUCAGCAUUGCAUUCAUGCAAUAGUUGAUACAUAUGAGCAGACUGGAAAGAAAUCCUGUCUUUUGCAUGCUACAGCUCAGUGUGCUUUGGGGCAUUCACUAAAGUGAGUUGGAGCAGUUUUUAUUGUGUUGGUUGGAAAACUGUCUAGGACAGCCAGAAACCAGGUGUCUGUUAAUUGAAAGUGCAUAAUAAUGCUCUCAACUCAGUGCAUGUUACUGUGCUUGCAAAUACAGUGUGGGGAUCUUGGCCCUUGGUAGUUGAUGAAUUUCCUGCUGUUAUAAGCUCUCUGACAGUUUUUGCCUGUGCUUUCUAGGACAAUUUCCAAAAAAACUGAGUCAGAAAAAAACGAAAAAGGGCCAGGUUUCUGGAGAAGAUAUCAGCUCCAGGGAGUGGUUCAUCAUGGAACAGCAGGGUUUCAAGAUGUGGGUGGACAGAGCCAACAAGAACGAUGUGAAAUGGAAGAACUCCUGGAGAAACAAGGUGACUCAUGGGCAGCAUAGGUGAAAAGCUUUCAAGACAGGUGAACAAAAAGAUCAGUUUUGAAGAAUGCCAACAAACUGAGAUGAGCAGCAUUUUUAAACCAACACUUCACAUGUGUAAACCUCUGCAUAAAUGGAUGAGAUUUCAAAGUCAGAGCUUAAAGAUCAGUUUGAAUUGGAAGCAGAGAAUGUGUCCAUGUUCAGUUUAAUCAAGCUCAGGGUUACAGUCAAAUGUGAUACAAAACCAGUUGUUUCUAACUUGUAUCGUUCAAAGCAACUGCAAAAGCUUCAGGGUAUGUGUGAGAUGUUUCCCAGCCCAACACAGGUGAGAACAGGGCGUUUCUGACUACUAAGACACGUUACCAGAUACAGGUCCUUCAGAUAACAAUGACUUUCAGGCAUGUAAAGGAUUAGCCAUCUUCCCAGGUAUUAUUCCUAUUACCUCCUUGCAGGUCUAUAAAUACAUAAACUUUUUCAGUUUUAAACAGUGAUGAGUGAGUAACGUCCAUACCUGCCAACCAGAAGAGAGUCUGCCAUCUCCAAUGGCCAGGGAGAGGCCAUUUCUCCAAGGCCCUUCUUCUCAGGGUAUGGGCUCAGACAAGGGGUGUUUGUCUGGGAUAACACCUGGGAGUGGGAACCCAGCCUGGCUCCCAAAUGACACACAUCUUGAAUUCAGGUUGUCUCUACUUUGGGUAUGUCAGUGGCUCUGACCAAAAUAAGGACAGUGUUGUGCUGUGUUCAGACACCUAUAGUGGAUGCUAAAACCCAGAUGAGCCAGAAGCCUUACUUCUCAGCAUAAUUCGCUACCAAAAUUACUGGGGCUGGAGCUACUUCUGUCAUGGCCAGUUCAGGAGCCCACUGACCAUGGCAUCCUUCCCUAUGACCUUCUCCUGACAUCAGCCCAGCACUUUGGAAUGAAUAAAGCUGAUUGAAAUUCAGAAUUUCUUUAUUAUAAGGAGGUUCUGAUAUUGCAAGUUAA